rnacentral:rRNA from 1 species
CAGCACCUCAAGUGGUCAGGAUGAUUAUUGGGCCUAAAGCAUCCGUAGCCGGCGCUGUAAGUUUUCGGUUAAAUCUGUACGCUUAACGUACAGGCUGCCGGGAAUACUGCAGAGCUAGGGAGUGGGAGAGGUAGACGGUACUCGGUAGGAAGGGGUAAAAUCCUUUGAUCUAUUGAUGACCACCUGUGGCGAAGGCGGUCUACCAGAACACGUCCGACGGUGAGGGAUGAAAGCUGGGGGAGCAAACCGGAUUAGAUACCCGCGUAGUCC